CAUCUUUAGCGCUUUCCGUUCAGUGUCGCCGUUCUCACUUUUUUUUUUUUAAUAGAUUUUUAUAUGACACACAUAAUUACAGAAACUUUAGCGUUUUGUUAAAACUCUCGAGACCAUGGUUACUGAAAGAGUUAUUCUGGAUGUCGCACAAUUUCGCCUUUUAAAUAUACUGUUAUGAACUUAUAACGCUAGAAUUCGUUGCAUUUGUUAUUAUGGAUUUCUGCGGUAUGGCAAUACGUUUAACAUGACGUGACACUUGUGCUGUGUUGCUCUCCAAGGAAACCGAUGCUCAGAGAACCAGCACUAAUGUUCUACUACUACUUAUUGGAAAUUGUCAGAACAUGAUGGAUGUGGAUCAUCAUGCUUUGCAGAAGGCUGGGGAGAAGUUUGCAUUCAUUUUAUAAAAAGCUGAAACCACUCCUCUGAAUUGGUGACAGUCUUUCAAGAACCCCCAUGAUCCAGCGUCCCUCCCAAUGGUACAACCUGUCAGCCCUGAACAUGGAGAGUUAUAAGGGGAAAACUUAGCGAUACGGUGACCUUGAUGAUAGUGUGACAGUCAUCGGUGAAGAACUUUGUUCCACCUGGAGGAGAUGAAGAUAUUUAGGUCCAUGUAAAUAAGCCCAUUUAGGUGCCGCUAGCAUCAGCUCAUGCUAAAAUAAAGACUGUUUUUGGAGGACGCAAUGGGCUUGCAUGAGACAAGUACUCCCAGAGAAGAGGAGGACACACCCCGGACAGAAGGAAAAAAAGUCAUACAGGUUUGGAAUGACAUGAGGGCCGAUAUCUCCCGGCAAGGCCUAAGAGGGGUGGCAGAUGCCCAGCUAUGGAUGGCCUACAUGUGCCCUUUGAGUGAUACAUACCAGGGCAAGUUCUCAUAAC
ensembl:lncRNA